GUGGUGACACCGAGCAGAACCCGAAAGCCGUUCUCAGUUCGGAUCGGAGUCUGCAACCCGACUCCGUGAAGCUGGAUUCGCUAGUAAUCGCGCAUCAGCCAUGGCGCGGUGAAUACGUUCCCGGGCCUUGUACACACCGCCCGUCAAGCCAUGGAAGCCGGGGGCGCUUGAAGCGCGUUGCCGCAAGGCGCGCCCUAGAGCGAAACCGGUGACUGGGGCUAAGUCGUAACAAGGUAUC
rnacentral:rRNA from 1 species